AGAAGACGACGAUGUCAUAUUUCUUGUUGAUGCGCUCUUGGAUGAUUGUGAGCAGGCAGCAGGAGUAGCCAGCAGAUCAAAAACAGGGGCUGAACAGGUGAUUUGGCUUGAGGAGGACCAGGAAGGGCAACCUCUUCCAAAAAGAAGUCGAUCAGGAGAGAAUCGGAAAUGCGGUUCAACUGGAGUGAAACAGAAGCGAGGUUCAACCACUGUUUCCUCCAGAAGCAUAGACCCAUGUGCUUCAU